rnacentral:lncRNA from 1 species
CAGGAUGCUGUGACUCCCUUUACAAUUAUAUUUCUCACUGCCUUGGUAAAGGGUCUUUUGGACUCUUCUUGGAUGUAGUUUAGCGGAAAUCUUGGCCCUAUGUCUACAGGAGAAAAAAAGGUACUCAUUGAAGCAUUCUGCUCCCUUAUGCAGACCUUGAGCUGGGAAUUCAAAGCCCCGACUUCACUGUUUUCUUUCCCUAAGUUCUCUAUUUUACUUGGAAGCAACUAACCAAUCCCAUUAUGUUCCUUAUUUCUACCAAAAUAUUCUAAGGUACCACUACUUGAUCCCCCAAACCUCUGCCUUCUAUAGGCUGGUGAUUCCAGAUGCCUGCAGGUGAUCAGAUAUCUAAGUAACCCUCUUGCCACCAAAUACCACACACACUUCAGUUACUCUUUCAAAAAAAAUUAUCAAGCAACUGCUCUGUGCCAGAGACUCUUCUAGUCCUGAAGAUACAGUGAUAAAUAAGAUAGAGACAGUUCCUGCUGCCAUUCAGCUUGGUUCUAGUGAGAAAGACAGAUAUAUUAAAAAAUAACUUGACAUUACAUUUUCAAGAAUUUAAGUACUUUAUUGGAAAAUAUAACUGUGUAAGAAGACAGAUAUUGACAAGGACACUUAGUUCUUGUAGCGAGGAAGUAUAGACUUAACUCUUAUUAGUAAAAGAGUGUUUAAGAAUAAAAAUAUAUCAAUACCCCUAACUUUGGAGACAAACUGAAGUACUGAAUGUACUUCUAUUUUUGAUUUUUCCCUUAGCAUGGUGAGUUGUUUGGGAAAUGAUUCAAUAGUUAUUUGUAGUUUCUAAAUUCUCAGCAGCAGUUGCCUCCUGAUAUGUGUCACUAUAUAUUCUGAGUUGACAUCUGUUAUCUGAAUCACCAAAAUAGUGCCUUGUUUUAAAAUUUAUCCACUAUUGGCUUAUGUUUUAUCUUACUCUAGGCCAUGUUAUCACUACAUGUGACAUCUCUGUAUAUGUGUUUGUGAAACUGGGAUAAAGUUGGCAAAACUUGAGAUAGAGGAAACUAUCUAUGAAACAUGUUUUGCAUUAGUAGAACAGGAGGCAUAAGCACAUUUGGAAUAGAAAGAACAGAGAAGGCGAUACUGGAGAAAUAGGAUCUCACAAAGGAAAGUAGAAUGCACGUAGAGAACUUAAAUGCAAUUUAGGCAAUAACCUAUGCAAUUUGGACAACUAUAGACCUACUAUGGCUUAUGGUUUCUACCAACUAGACUUAAGCUUCUUUUGGAAUAAAGCCUUUGCCUCAUGGAGGAAGUCAGUUAAUGUUUGUUGAUUGUGAUUUUGAUGAUGACAUUCAUGAUGAUAUUCUAUUUGGGGAAUGUUUUUCAAAGUGGGGCUUUGACCUGACAAACUGUUAUACCGAUAGAAAAAUCAACAUUCUCUCACUGACACCUUAGGUAUUUGACAGAUAUCUGAAAGAAAAAUAAUUUGAUAUGACCAAGCAAUAGUGAAGUGUAGGAUAUUGAUCUCCAGAGAUUUGUGAGACUAAAAAUUGUGCAAACGAAUAAAAAAAAAUCAUAGUCUAGAUUAUCCCAAUGUUGAACAAUAUACUUAUGUUUACACAUAAUGUUGGAAAAGUCAUCAGUGCAAUUUCUACAAUGCACUGAUGAUAAUGAUAAUGAAAUUUUAGUGACAAUGUGAUAAUGAAAUUUUAGAAGAAAUUAUAAUUAGUUUUUCAUCUCUCUUAAAUGGAUGUGUUGUUUUUUCUGUCCUCUUCCUUCUCCAUUUAUGCCUGUUCUGGUUCCUUGUUGACUUGGGGAAAUAUACAUGUGGGUAAUAAGGGUGAACAUUUCCGCAGAAACAAAGCAGGUCUACUAUGCUUCAGCAGGCUUAACUCUCAUUUGUUUAAUGAGGGUUUGGAAAGAUGGGGGGGUUUCCUACAUAUAGUCAAUGCAUACUUAAGAACACCUACUAUGUGCUGGCUUCAUUUUAGUCUCUAGGAACUGGGAGACAUAUUGAGCCAUCUGUAUCUACAUAUAUUAAAAUUGUUGUACCGAAGAGUAUUUCAAGGUCUUCUAUCUGUUUUCUUUUGGAUAGAAGCAGUCAGUGCAAACCAGCAUGGUGAAUGAGCUUGAUUGUAUUUAAGAGAAAAAAUUCUCACUUUUGGGGUUUUUGCUACCAAUUUUAAGAAUGGGGAGCUGUUUUCAGAACUAAAAGUUUGCCAGCGCACUAAUAAGAUGUAAAAUGAAGAAAAAUUAAAAAAUAGCUCUAUGGUUUCAAAGAAUGUGGAGCUACUUUGGCUUCAUCGGCAGAGUAAGUCUGUUAAUAACCCCGAAGCUCUCCCCUUGUUGAAAUAACACAAAUUAGCGUUUAACCUGGGAGGAAGACACGUGAAGUUAUUUAACAUUUACAUAAAAUUAUGGAGUAAACUCCAAACAGGUCGCCUCCAAAAUGUAUAAUUACACUCAGCAGUCCUGUCAGCAUACAUAGAAACAAUUUUAUUUCCAAUCAUCUUCUGCUUUUAUUCACUCAGGAAUGUAUCAUUAAAAUUUCCACAGAACAAUGAACCUUAAUAGGCGCUAAUGCAAUUGUGAAUUAUGGUAAUUGUUACCUAAAUUAAUCUCUGUACUUUCCAUUCCUUAUUGCCCUGUGCAUAAGGAGUGUGAAAAAGAUAAUGUUGAAACUGACAUUUGUAUAAAUGGUAUAAAAAUUUAUCUUAUUUAAUAAAAAUUUAAUAUAAGAACUUGCUACUUUGUAAAGUAGUUUACUCAGAAAAAAAUGUUAGAUUUGUUGCAAGUUGGGUUUAUAAAAUCUUUAAUUUGUGAAAUUUGGGAGGGAAACUGGCAGUUGACUCAUUAUGGUUAUCUUUGGGGUAUGUGUAUGCACCGAGGUAUCGGGAUGGUACAUGUAUGUUCCUCCGUGCACAUAUUGCCAGGGCAGUGUAUGCAUUCGUACCCUUAUCUGUGUGCCUGGCCUCUUUCUGUGUGUUUAUGUUUACUCAUUUACGUAAACUACCCUCUUGGUGUAAUAAAAUCCACCAUUAUGUGUUGAAUUGUGUUCCUCUCAAAUUCAUAUGCUGAAGUCUCCUAGUUCUUCAGAAUGUGACCAUAUUUGAAGAUAGGACCUUUAAAGAGGUGAUUAAGUUAAAAUUAGGCCGUAUGUUUGGGCUCUAAUCCAGUGUGACUGGUGUCCAUCUAAGAAGAAAUUAGGACAGAGACAUAGAGGGAAGACCAUUGGAAGACACAGGGAUAAGAUGGCUGUCUACAAGCCAAGGAGAGAGGCUCCUGAAGAAACCGGCCCUGCCAAUACCAUCUUGUCAGAUAUAUGGCCUCCAGAACUGUGGGAAAAUAAAUUUCUGUUGUUUAAGCCACACA